UACGUAGGGUGCAAGCGUUAAUCGGAAUUACUGGGCGUAAAGCGUGCGCAGGCGGUUUUGUAAGUCUGUCGUGAAAGCCCCGGGCUCAACCUGGGAAUUGCGAUGGAGACUGCAAGGCUUGAAUCUGGCAGAGGGGGGUAGAAUUCCUGGUGUAGCAGUGAAAUGCGUAGAGAUGUGGAGGAAUACCGAUGGCGAAGGCAGCCCCCUGGGAUAAUACUGACGCUCAUGCACGAAAGCGUGGGGAGCAAACAGG
rnacentral:rRNA from 1 species